GCGUCGAGCCCGACGUGCAAGACC
rnacentral:miRNA from 14 species